CAAAAGGUCAAGAGAACAAGAUGUGGGGUUUGAUCUUCUGAUCAACAUGCGUACUUCAGCCUCACUGAAAGGUCUGAAAUGUAGAAACUUGAUUUAAGAG